rnacentral:lncRNA from 1 species
UCAACAAAUGAACAAUCACUCUAACUAAGGGGAUAACAGUAAAAGCAAAAAAUUGUAUCUUUUGCUAUACUAUAUUCCAAUCAAGUAGGAUGCUCAUUAUACUACAAAACACAAAAUUGUCGAUCUUUGUUACCCAUUCUUGUGGGUGGAAGAAACUCAUGAUUGCGAGGCUGACAAGGACUCCUUUGCACAUAUACUCUUCAAUUCACGUCUCGAACAUUAACAUUAUAAUUUUGUAUUGGAACUCUCAAUUUAGGAUUUGAGGGUUGCUGUGCAACAUCAACAUCCCCAACUCUCCAACAUCAACAUUAAUAUCAACAUCGUUUUCAUUCAUUUUCUCUCGAAUAUUUGCUUAUAUUUUUGCUCAUCACAAGAAAGCGUAGAUUUACAUGUGAAGAAUUUGUCCAUAAUUGAUACAAAUAAGAAAAAUCAAAGACAUUAGAAUCCCUAGAUCAAUUUUUUCCCCUAACUUAUACAAAAUUUCAAACAUAUUAAUAAAAAAGUUUCAAUCUUCCUAAAUCAAUUUAUACAUAAACAAGAAAGCCCUAAAUUAGAAAUUCCUAAAUUAAAAAUCCUUAAAUCCCUAAAUCGGAAAACACAAUUGAUGACAACAUUGACAUUUGGCAGAAAUAUAAAUAAGAAAUUGACAUUAGCUAAAUUGCAGACACUAAAACUGGGAGAAAAUAACUAAAUUAAAUGGUAAUGUGACAUACUUUCAAGAAGAUGGCAGUGGAUGGAGUCAGAAGUUAGAAAAUUAGAAAUAUGCUGAUCACAGAAUGAUAGAAAUAUGCAGACCACAAACGACAUAGAAGAAGAUCUGAAGAUGCACAGCGUGACGACGAAAACAAUGGAAGAUUGUGGCGGGGGCUUAUUUUAAUGGGACACAUUCAAUUUGGCAGUAUCUAAUGGCUUGUUCAAACGGUGAAGACGUGAAGCGAUGGCCGGUGGGUAAAUGGUAAUAAGGGUAGGGGCUUAUUCAAAUGGUGGGAGAGAAAGAGACAAAGCUGCAAUGUUGGUUGCAUUAUAAAUGUAGCGUUUAGAUUUUGACUUUUUAAAUUUUU